GGGACCGUAGCUCAGUAGGAUAGAGCAUCAGAUUCCUAAUCUGGUUGUCGUGCGUUCGAAUCGCACCGGUCCCA
rnacentral:tRNA from 1 species